GGCCCUAUCGUAUAGCGGUUUAGUACCCAGGUUUUUGAAUUAAUUAAAGAUGAGCGAAUACCUGUAACGCGAGUUCGAACCUCGCUAGGACCU